rnacentral:rRNA from 1 species
UCAACCUGCACUUCUUGCCUGGCGUCCCACUGAAGCUAAGCAGGGUUGAGCCUGGCCAAAACCUGGAUGGGAGACCUCCUGGGGAAAGCUAAGGUUGCUGCUUGAA